UGAUCCUGCCGGAGGCCAUUGCUAUCGGAGUCCGAUUUAGCCAUGCUAGUUGUGCGGGUUUAGACCCGCAGCGGAAAGCUCAGUAACACGUGGCCAAACUACCCUGUGGAUGGGAACAAUCUCGGGAAACUGAGGCUAAUUCCCAAUAACGCUCCGCCCCUGGAACGGGCGGAGCUGGAAACGCUACGGCGCCACAGGAUGUGGCUGCGGUCGAUUAGGUAGACGGUGGGGUAACGGCCCACCGUGCCAAUAAUCGGUACGGGUUGUGAGAGCAAGAGCCCGGAGACGGAAUCUGAGACAAGAUUCCGGGCCCUACGGGGCGCAGCAGGCGCGAAACCUUUACACUAUACGCAAGUGCGAUAAGGGGACUCCGAGUGUGAAGGCAUAGAGCCUUCACUUUUGUACACCGUAAGGUGGUGUACGAAUAAGGGCUGGGCAAGACCGGUGCCAGCCGCCGCGGUAAUACCGGCAGCCCGAGUGAUGGCCGAUAUUAUUGGGCCUAAAGCGCCCGUAGCUGGCCGGACAAGUCCGUUGGGAAAUCUGUUCGCUUAACGAGCAGGCGUCCAGCGGAAACUGUUCGGCUUGGGACCGGAAGACCUGAGGGGUACGUCCGGGGUAGGAGUGAAAUCCUGUAAUCCUGGACGGACCACCGGUGGCGAAAGCGCCUCAGGAGGACGGAUCCGACAGUGAGGGACGAAAGCUAGGGUCUCGAACCGGAUUAGAUACCCGGGUAGUCCUAGCUGUAAACGAUGCCCGCUAGGUGUGGCGCAGGCUACAAGCCUGCGCUGUGCCGUAGGGAAGCCGAGAAGCGGGCCGCCUGGGAAGUACGUCUGCAAGGAUGAAACUUAAAGGAAUUGGCGGGGGAGCACUACAACCGGAGGAGCCUGCGGUUUAAUUGGACUCAACGCCGGACAUCUCACCAGCUCCGACAGUAGUAAUGACGGUCAGGUUGAUGACUUUACCCGAUGCUACUGAGAGGAGGUGCAUGGCCGCCGUCAGCUCGUACCGUGAGGCGUCCUGUUAAGUCAGGCAACGAGCGAGACCCGCACUCCUAAUUGCCAGCAUGUCCCACGUGGAUGAUGGGUACUUUAGGAGGACUGCCGCCGCCAAGGCGGAGGAAGGAACGGGCAACGGUAGGUCAGUAUGCCCCGAAUGGGCUGGGCAACACGCGGGCUACAAUGGCCGAGACAAUGGGUUCCCACUCCGAGAGGAGGCGGUAAUCUCAGAAACUCGGUCGUAGUUCGGAUUGUGGGUUGCAACUCACCCACAUGAAGCUGGAUUCGGUAGUAGUCGCCUUCCAGGAGAGGGCGGCGAAUACGUCCCUGCUCCUUGCACACACCGCCCGUCAAAGCACCCGAGUGGGGUCCGGAUGAGGCCUGCCUAGCAGGUCGAAUCUGGGCUCCGCAAGGGGGCUUAAGUCGUAACAAGGUAGCCGUAGGGGAAUCUGCGGCUGGAU
rnacentral:rRNA from 1 species